rnacentral:rRNA from 1 species
AGCGCGGGGCAACCUGGGCGGCGAGCGGCGAACGGGUGAGUAAUGCAUCGGAACAUGUCCAUGUCGUGGGGGAUAGCCCGGCGAAAGCCGGAUUAAUACCGCAUACGCCCGAGAGGGGAAAGUGGGGGACCGCAAGGCCUCACGCGAUUGGGUUGGCCGAUGUCCGAUUAGCUAGUUGGCGGGGUAAGAGCCCACCAAGGCGAUGAUCGGUAGCUGGUCUGAGAGGAUGAUCAGCCACACUGGGACUGAGACACGGCCCAGACUCCUACGGGAGGCAGCAGUGGGGAAUUUUGGACAAUGGGGGAAACCCUGAUCCAGCCAUUCCGCGUGAGUGAAGAAGGCCUUCGGGUUGUAAAGCUCUUUUGUCCGGAACGAAACGGUUGGCGUGAAUAUCGCCGACUACUGACGGUACCGGAAGAAUAAGCACCGGCUAACUACGUGCCAGCAGCCGCGGUAAUACGUAGGGUGCGAGCGUUA